rnacentral:rRNA from 1 species
GACGAACGCUGGCGGCGUGCCUAAUACAUGCAAGUAGAACGCACAGUUUAUACCGUAGCUUGCUACACCAUAGACUGUGAGUUGCGAACGGGUGAGUAACGCGUAGGUAACCUGCCUGGUAGCGGGGGAUAACUAUUGGAAACGAUCGCUAAUACCGCAUAAUAUUAAUUAUUGCAUGAUAAUUAAUUGAAAGGUGCAAUUGCACCACUACCAGAUGGACCUGCGUUGUAUUAGCUAGUAGGUGAGGUAACGGCUCACCUAGGCGACGAUACAUAGCCGACCUGAGAGGGUGAUCGGCCACACUGGGACUGAGACACGGCCCAGACUCCUACGGGAGGCAGCAGUAGGGAAUCUUCGGCAAUGGACGAAAGUCUGACCGAGCAACGCCGCGUGAGUGAAGAAGGUUUUCGGAUCGUAAAGCUCGGUUGUAAGAGAAGAACGGGUGUGAGAGUGGAAAGUUCACACUGUGACGGUAUCUUACCAGAAAGGGACGGCUAACUACGUG